rnacentral:rRNA from 1 species
CCCUGCCAUUUGUACACACCGCCCGUCGUUACUACCGAUUGAAUGAUUUAGUGAGAACUUCGGACGAAUUGCCAGGGCAGCCUCCGGGCCACUCGUGGUGUAGUUGAAAGUUGUUCAAACUUGAUCCU